rnacentral:rRNA from 1 species
GCUAACGCGUGGCCAGCAGCCGCGGUAUGACGUAGGGUGGGAGGGUUAAUCGUAAUUACUGGGCGUAAAGCGGGCGCAGGAUGUGAUGUAAGACAGAUGUGAAAUCCCCGGUCUCAACCUGGGAACUGCGUUUGGGACUGCAUCACUCGAGUACGGCAGAGGGAGGUGGAAUUCCACGUGUAGCAGUGAAAUGCGUAGAGAUGUGGAGGAACACCGAUGGCGAAGGCAGCCUCCUGGGCCAGUACUGACGCUCAUGCACGAAAGCGUGGGGAGCAAACAGGAUUAGAUACCCUAGUAGUC